CUUGACAUGUGCCGAAGUCCGCUGAGAGGUGGAUGUGCCCGAAAGGGAACGGCAACACAGGUGCUGCAUGGCUGUCGUCAGCUCGUGUCGUGAGAUGUUGGGUUAAGUCCCGCAACGAGCGCAACCCUUGUCAUUAAUUGCCAUCAUUCAGUUGGGCACUUUAAUGAAACUGCCGGUGACAAACCGGAGGAAGGUGGGGAUGACGUCAAGUCCUCAUGGCCCUUAUGGGUAG
rnacentral:rRNA from 1 species